GACGAACGCUGGCGGCGUGCUUAACACAUGCAAGUCGAACGGAAAGGCCCUGCUUUUGUGGGGUGCUCGAGUGGCGAACGGGUGAGUAACACGUGAGUAACCUGCCCUUGACUUUGGGAUAACUUCAGGAAACUGGGGCUAAUACCGGAUAGGAGCUCCUGCUGCAUGGUGGGGGUUGGAAAGUUUCGGCGGUUGGGGAUGGUCUGGCGGCUGAUCAGCUUGUUGGUGGGGUAGUGGCUUACCAAGGCUUUGACGGGUAGCCGGCCUGAGAGGGUGACCGGCGACAUUGGGACUACGAUACGGCCCAGACUCCUACAGGGGGCAGCAGUGGGGAAUAUUGCACAAUGGGCGGAAGCCUGAGGCAGCAACGUCGCGUGCGGGAUGACGGCCUUCGGGUUGUAAACCGCUUUCGCCUGUGACGAAGCGUGAGUGACGGUAAUGGAUAAAGAAGCACCGGCUAACUACGUG
rnacentral:rRNA from 1 species